GACGAACGCUGGCGGCGUGCUUAACACAUGCAAGUGGAGCGACGAACCAGGGCUUGCCCUGGGGCAGAGCCGCGAACGGGUGAGUAACACGUGGGUAACCUGCCCAGAUGACCGGGACAACCCGAGGAAACUCGGGCUAAUACCGGAUGUGCUGUCCCCACAUCAGUGGGGUUAGGACAGGUAGCUUCGGCCUCCGCGUCUGGAUGGGCCCGCGGCCCAUUAGCUUGUUGGUGAGGUAACGGCUCACCAAGGCUUCGAUGGGUAGCUGGUCUGAGAGGACGAUCAGCCACACUGGGACUGAGACACGGCCCAGACUCCUACGGGAGGCAGCAGUGGGGAAUCUUGCGCAAUGCGCGAAAGCGUGACGCAGCAACGCCGCGUGCGGGAAGACGGCCUUCGGGUUGUAAACCGCUUUCAGUUGGGACGAAGCCUUUGCGGUUAAUAGCCGUGGAAGGUGACGGUACCUUCAGAAGAAGCCCCGGCUAACUACGUGCCAGCCGCCGCCGUAA
rnacentral:rRNA from 1 species